CGGCGAUACCCGAAUGGGGAAACCCAGUGUGACUCGUCACACUAUCAUUAACUGAAUCCAUAGGUUAAUGAGGCGAACCGGGGGAACUGAAACAUCUAAGUACCCCGAGGAAAAGAAAUCAACCGAGAUUCCCCCAGUAGCGGCGAGCGAACGGGGAGGAGCCCAGAGCCUGAAUCAGCAUGUGUGUUAGUGGAAGCGUCUGGAAAGGCGCGCGAUACAGGGUGACAGCCCCGUACACAAAAGCGCAUGUGCUGUGAGCUCGAUGAGUAGGGCGGGACACGUGGUAUCCUGUCUGAAUAUGGGGGGACCAUCCUCCAAGGCUAAAUACUCCUGACUGACCGAUAGUGAACCAGUACCGUGAGGGAAAGGCGAAAAGAA
rnacentral:rRNA from 1 species